UCCCUGAUAGCUUAGUUGGUAAAGAAUCUGCCUGCAAUGUAGGAGACCCCAGUUCAAUUCCUGGGUUGGGAA
rnacentral:tRNA from 1 species